CUACGGGGGGCUCCAGUGGGGAAUAUUGCACAAUGGGGGAAACCCUGAUGCAGCAACGCCGCGUGGAGGAUGACACAUUUCGGUGCGUAAACUCCUUUUAUAGGUCAAGAUAAUGACGGUAGCCUAUGAAUAAGCGCCGGCUAACUCCGUGCCAGCAGCCGCGGUAAUACGGAGGGCGCAAGCGUUACUCGGAAUCACUGGGCGUAAAGAGCAUGUAGGCGGGUUAAUAAGUCAGAAGUGAAAUCCAAUAGCUCAACUAUUGAACUGCCUUUGAAACUGUUAACCUAGAGUGGUGGGAGGGGUAGAUGGAAUUUCUGGUGUAGGGGUAAAAUCCGUAGAGAUCAGAAGGAAUACCGAUUGCGAAGGCGAUCUACUGGAACAUUACUGACGCUGAGAUGCGAAAGCGUGGGGAGCAAACAGGAUUAGAUACCCCAGUAGUC
rnacentral:rRNA from 1 species